AAUUUUGGACAAUGGGAGAAACCCUGAUCCAGCCAUCCCGCGUGUAUGAUGAAGGCCUUCGGGUUGUAAAGUACUCUUGGCAGAGAAGAAAAGGUAUCUCCUAAUACGAGAUACUGCUGCCGGUAUCUGCAGAAUAAGCACCGGCUAACUACGUGCCAGCAGCCGCGGUAAUACGUAGGGUGCAAGCGUUAAUCGGAAUUACUGGUCGUAAAGCGUGUGUGGGCGGUUGGGAAAGAAAGAUGUGAAUUCCAAGGGAUAAACCUUGGAACUGCAUUUUAACUGCCGAGCUAGAGUAUGUCAGAGGGGGGUAGAAUUCCACGUGUAGCAGUGAAAUGCGUAGAUAUGUGGAGGAAUACCGAUGGAGAAGGCAGCCCCCUGGGAUAAUACUGACGCUCAGACACGAAAGCGUGGGGAGCAAACA
rnacentral:rRNA from 1 species